AGUCUGGAAAUAUUGUAACAUUUGCAUUUUGAAACAUCGUUUGCUUCUUAUUGCUGGCUAAUGACGGGAUGGAUCAACACAAGCAGACUAAGGACUCCAGUCAAGAAGAAUGUUUGAGAUGGAAGAAAGGUACAAGAGAAACAUUAUAGAAUGUGUAAGAGCACCAAAAGCAAGUCCUUCAUGAGUCUAGGCUGAACUGCCGCAUGCCACUCAGACACAAGCCAUGACGACCCAACGGUCACUGUCCAACCGACUUUCAGCUGGAUAGGAGAGACGUCGCAGGAGUUCAGACUUGGAGAUACAGAGUUUUUGGAAGAUUUCAGAGUGAAUAAAGGAGGAUUUUUAGCAGAAGAAAGAAGAAGGAGUGAGAGAGAGAGAAGAAAAGAGAGAAGAAAGAGAGGAGGAGAUUUAUCAAGAAGAAGAAAAAUGAAUAGCAAGAAAAAGAGAAGAAGAUGCAGUAGCCCAGUGGAUGAUCCAGGAGGUAAGGAGAUGAAACUAUCAGUAUAUUGCUAUAGGAACAUACUCAUAUAACCUUUUACUUUUCUGGUAAAAAAGCAGAGAUGAGCUUCUUACUGUAUAUUAUAGUAGAACCCCCCAAAGUUGGGAAUAAGUGCAUUAUACAUAAU